UACGUAGGGGGCUAGCGUUAUCCGGAAUUACUGGGCGUAAAGGUGCGUAGGUGGUUUCUUAAGUCAGAGGUGAAAGGCUACGGCUCAACCGUAGUAAGCCUUUGAAACUGGGAAACUUGAGUGCAGGAGAGGAGAGUGGAAUUCCUAGUGUAGCGGUGAAAUGCGUAGAUAUUAGGAGGAACACCAGUUGCGAAGGCGGCUCUCUGGACUGUAACUGACACUGAGGCACGAAAGCGUGGGAGCAAACAGG
rnacentral:rRNA from 1 species